GCAUAUGAUGCCAUCGAAGUUGACUGAUUAUGAUACUACAAAGGUCACCAAAUGGAUUGCGUACUUGUAGGGAGCAUCUUAACGUUAUCAGACAUUGCCCCGAAACUCCAAUUUUGAUUUAAAGGGACUUUUAAAAGCAGCUCACCGUGUCAUCUGCAGAUCGAGUCUCAUGAAGCAUGCAAUCAAUAAGACACCACAAGCAGCAGGGUAAACAAUUCCUGAAGUCUGGCAGCAGUGGAUUGACUUCAUUAGUGACGGCCUCCUUCCGAGAUACGCCCGGUGCCUCUUGGAGAUGGGCUCCGUGUUGACCCGGUGUCAAGUCCGUGCUGCAGGAGGGCAUUCCGUCCGCUCCGCCAGGGCAGCGUGGGGUUUCACAGCACGCCUGCUUCCGGAUCGCUCCAGAACAAAGAACCUGACUGGGGCCAAGACCUGCCGCCACUCCUCUGAGCUCGUGCCACAAGCAAACAUACACAAUCGCACAACCGCACACUGUUGAACACACCCUCAGACAUAUACACAGGACGACGGCGGCUCUCUUGGGGCCCUUUUGGCCCAGCAUAUGACGGUUCCCAACAAUAGCCUUCAGCAGAUGCCCGCGGUCCAGAGCCAAACAGAUGGGAGGACCGGAGUGGAUUUGGACAGGCGAAGCGGUCGCCCGCAGCGCCAGCUUAAGACCCGAGGCUGUCACAGGAGUGUAUGGAGAUAAAUGAACAUGGUGGGGGGCAAAACAGAGGGCAGUGCCAGGGUCCAGGAACAGCUUGCAGAGGGACAGGCUUGAAAGAGGCAAGGCACAUGCAUAGGAGACCAAGGGCGAGCUGGAUGCCCACCAAGACUAAUCCUCCACCUGAGGGCAGGGAGAUGGUUGUGCCUGAGGCGAGAGAAAACAUGAGUGGACGACAUGCUGGAAAAUUAGACUUGGAGGCCUUUAUUGGGUGCAUGGGAAACUAUGAACUACUGAAAUGAAGCAAUACUUACAAUGCAUGAGCUUGGUAACUAGCCUUGAUCUUUAUGUUGUCCAUCCCACUGUGAGAGUUACGUGACUUGCUUACAACCACCUGCUUGACUGCGCACAGAGGGAUUUUACAUAGACUGUGAUAACGAUGUAACA